rnacentral:lncRNA from 1 species
GGAGACCAAGUGAGCCACCAAGCAACUAGGAGAGUGGAGCACUAAAUACAGAGUGUGACAGGCACCAGGAAGCAGGGAGCAAGGGGGAAGGGGGCCAUUCCAGAGGGAGGUUCCCUGAGAGAGGAGACCACCUUGAGAGCACCAGCUGUGAUAGGGCAGGGCAGCAGGUGCCUCAAGCAGGGGACACACAGGCACGUUAGGUGAUGGAGGACUAGGUGAGGAAAUCCUGACUUUAAGGGCCGGGUUGUGGCUCAGUGGUAGAUGCUUUUCUCUCAUAUAUAGGGCCCUGUGUUCAAUCUCUAGUACUGGAAAAAAAAAGUAAGAAAGAAAGAAAAUUCUUGGAUAUGAGACAAGUUCUGCAUGUACAACCCAAAGUCUUAAGGAUAGGGAUUUGGACAGAUACUCACAUACCUGUGUUCCUGGCAGCUGUAUUUAAGUAGCUGAGAGGUGGAAACUGCCUGAGUGCCCAUCAGCAAAUGAUCAGGUAAACUAAAUGUGAUCAUGUGAUGUGUGCAUGCAACGGGCUAUUAUUCAGCUACAAAAAAUGUAAUUAUUUUUUUCCACGUAGGGAAUCGAACCCAGGGCCUCAUGCAUGUGGGGCAAGUGCUGUACUCCUGAGCUACCCCAGCCCCAGAAUAAUGUUCUGAUGCCUGCUUCUGUGUGGAUCAACCUCAAAAACAUCUUGCUAAGUGAAAUAAGCCAGCCAGGGAAGUUAUAUCUUGCAUAAUCAUUUGUAUGAAAUGUGCAGAAUAGGCAAUCCAUAAAGACUGAGCAGCUUGGUGGUGGCCAGGGCUGGAGGGACAGGGAGUGGCUGCUUAGUGGCUGCAGGGUUUCCUCUCAAAAUGAUGAGAACAUUCUGGAACUGAAUUGAGGCGUCGGUCACACAACAUUGGGAAUUCACUAAAUGCCAUUGAAUUGUUCACUUUAAAAUGGUUGAUUUUGUUGUGUGAAUUUCACUUCAUUAAAAAAAAAAAACUUCCACAGAAAACUCAGCAGCACAGGGAUGUGUUGGGAGAGAAGAUUCUGGGAGAGCUUUAUUAGUUCUGUUAGGACACGAAAGAUUCAUGAGGGAGG